rnacentral:rRNA from 1 species
CUACGGGCCGCUCCAGUGAGGAAUAUUGCACAAUGGGGGGAACCCUGAUGCAGCAACGCCGCGUGGAGGAUGACGCAUUUCGGUGUGUAAACUCCUUUUAUAUGUCAAGAAAAUGACGGUAGCAUAUGAAUAAGCACCGGCUAACUCCGUGCCAGCAGCCGCGGUAAUACGGAGGAUGCAAGCGUUACUCGGAAUCACUGGGCGUAAAGGACGCGUAGGCGGGUUGGAAAGUCAGGUGUGAAAUCCUACAGCUUAACUGUAGAACUGCACUUGAAACUUCUAAUCUAGAGUAUGGGAGGGGGAGAUGGAAUUAGUGGUGUAGGGGUAAAAUCCGUAGAUAUCACUAGGAAUACCUAAAGCGAAGGCGAUCUCCUGGAACAUUACUGACGCUAAGGCGUGAAAGUGUGGGGAGCAAACAGGAUUAGAUACCCCCGUAGUC